UCCUGCUCAAUGGCUUACUAAAUAGCCGCAGUACAUUGACUGUGCAAAGGUAGCAUAAUCAGUUGGCUUAUAAUUGAAGUCUAGUAUGAAUGGAGCAUUGGGUGUAUACUGUCUUAAAUUAGUUAAUAUAAUUUACUCAAUAAGUGUAAAUACUUAUACUUAAAUAAUAGACGAUAAGACCCUAGAAAUUUUCUACAAUGUGAAUCUUUUUACUACUAUUUUGCUGGGGCGGCAGAAUAACACGGUAACUUAUUUUUUUUUUAUUCGAAGGUGUCAGAAAAAUGAUAAUUACUCUAGGGAUAACAGCAUAAUUAUUAUUAGAUUGUGACCUCGAUGUUGGACUAGGGAUUAUAUUACCUAGCCGGUAAAUAUAUUCGCUCUGUUCGAGCAAAAAUUCCU
rnacentral:rRNA from 1 species